GAAGCAACGUAACUAAUUUGAAACUCCAGAAAAUCUCUGAUCAUCUUGUUCCCAUCAUAAGUUGUGCCAGCCAUGUGCAAGCCCCCAGUGUGCUGUCAGACCUAGAGGCAUGUGUAGAGCAACGCAGCCUGCCCUUCAGGACUGAUGUGAAGACCCUCAAAGGGGACCUUUGGGGUUAGGCUCUGAGUGGCAGCCGAGGAGAGAACAGGAUCAGAAGGAGACAUGAGAGAGACCUGACAUGUUUCAGCCCCGAAAGACACCCCCCUCUCCCCCACCCCUGCCUGAGGUGUCCCACUCACCCACAUUCUCCCCUUUGACCUCCUCCCUGUCUUCCCUUCUCUUCCUUCUCCUCGUCCAUACAUCCUGGGCAGCUGCCUCAACGUCCUCCCCACCACCAUCCCAGCCCUGCUGUGUCUGGUGGUUCUGCUUACACCCCGCUCUAGAAAACCCAUCCUUGCACUUGCUGUAUCUAGUCUGGCCUCCCUUCUGACCUCUCAUGGUGCCACUGCUGACAGCAGGCUCCUCACUGGGUGCUAUGACAUUGCUGGGACCUACCCCUUCCUACCUCUCCCACCUUCCAGUUCUUGCCACCCUCCACAACCCCACAUGUGCUGUCCUACAGCUGGCUGCCCCUUCCCGCCAACAUUUCCUGGAGCCUGGUCCCAGGGUGACCAGCAUCUCCUGGGCUUGGUCUGGCAUGGCCACCUACUCAGUCUUCCUGAGGCUGGCCUGGGGCCAACUCAAUCAUUGCCCAUGUGCAGAUGCUGGUAGGGACAGAAGUGCGUGUCCUGAAAGAUGCUUCCAACCCAGCACCCACUCCAGUCCACUUGCCACAAACACCUUGGAAAGAAAGUAUCUUUCUUCCCGAUUUCCUGCCCCUGUACCUGGUCACUCUGCUCACCUGCAUUCACCUCUCAGCAUUCAGCAAAUGGACACAGUGAUCUCAAGGCUUCGAGACCACCUGGGAACUCCUCCACUUGCUGCAGGAACAUGCCUCCUGUGGCCUUUCUCCUCCUAUGGGCUUGUCCCAUGGUGCAGAGGGGACACUAAGGCGCAGGUUGCUGCCACUCUGCUUGGCCUCGGAUGA
rnacentral:lncRNA from 12 species